CCUACGGGGGGCUGCAGUGGGGAAUAUUGGACAAUGGGCGAAAGCCUGAUCCAGCCAUGCCGCGUGUGUGAAGAAGGCCUUCGGGUUGUAAAGCACUUUCAGUGGGGAAGAAAGCCUUGGGGCUAAUACCCUCGAGGAAGGACAUCACCCACAGAAGAAGCACCGGCUAACUCCGUGCCAGCAGCCGCGGUAAUACGGAGGGUGCGAGCGUUAAUCGGAAUUACUGGGCGUAAAGCGCGCGUAGGCGGUCUGAUAAGCCGGUUGUGAAAGCCCCGGGCUCAACCUGGGAACGGCAUCCGGAACUGUCAGGCUAGAGUGCAGGAGAGGAAGGUAGAAUUCCCGGUGUAGCGGUGAAAUGCGUAGAGAUCGGGAGGAAUACCAGUGGCGAAGGCGGCCUUCUGGACUGACACUGACGCUGAGGUGCGAAAGCGUGGGUAGCAAACAGGAUUAGAUACCCGAUAGUC
rnacentral:rRNA from 1 species